rnacentral:rRNA from 1 species
AGGCAGCAGUAAGGAAUAUUGCACAAUGGAGGAAACUCUGAUGCAGCGACGCCGCGUGAGUGACGAAGGCCUUCGGGUUGUAAAGCUCUGUUCUCAGGGAAAAAGCAAGUGAUUGUACCUGAGGAGAAAGGACCGGCUAACUUCGUGCCAGCAGCCGCGGUAAGACGAGGGGUCCAAGCGUUGUUCGGAAUCAUUGGGCGUAAAGCGGGUGUAGGUGGCUUUGUAAGUCAGGAGUGAAAUCCCCGAGCUUAACUUGGGAAGUGCUUUUGAAACUGCAAAGCUUGAAUGUGGGAGAGGAUCGUGGAAUUCCAGGUGUAGUGGUGAAAUACGUAGAUAUCUGGAGGAACACCGGUGGCGAAGGCGGCGGUCUGGCCCAACAUUGACACUGAGACCCGAAAGCGUGGGGAUCAAACAGGAUUAGAUACCCUAGUAGUCC